AAAUUGGGUGGUAAUAGGCUACUCGAGGCUUGAACCAGAGGAGGAGAGGAUUAGUUGUUUUCAUGGAAGGAAAAGAGCAGCAGCAGCGGAGGAGGAGUAUGCAGAGGCAAACGUGGAGGAGUGGUUGGGGUCAUCGAUGAGAAAUGUACUGUUCCACAUAACACAUAACCAUUUGUUAAUUGAACCACUUAUACGACAGGCUUUGUUCUUGAAUUUCAAUUUGUUGAUUAUUACAGGACGAUAGGUAAAGAGUGGCAUGUAAGUUAAUUCUUUAGGUUAUAUACAUAUAUAACGACUGACUCAUAUACCAAUCUAACCACUAACCUGAGGAAGACAUCGUCUCAGAAAUAGGGUAAAGAACUGAGGCUCUUCUGUGUCUCUGCACUGUCCGGAAGCAAGGCUCACUCAAUGGGGCUUGAGGAUUUCUGUAUACU
rnacentral:lncRNA from 1 species